rnacentral:lncRNA from 1 species
AAUUUACAGAAAUUAUGUAUUUAAAGAUAGAAAACUGGAAAUAAAAAUGAUUAAAGGAAGUAAAAUUCUACAUUGAGGAAUAUCUUUAAGGAGUAAGCUGAGAAGAUGUGCAGCUGAUUACAGGGCAUUCUUUUUUCAGGACAUGGACUAGAGGGAGCCUUUAGGCUGUAGCCUGGGGCUUGAGUGUGAAAUUGGAAAUACGCUUUAAACAGAGAAAACCCCCCUUCAGUAUAUUUGUUAAAUUCCAUUGCCGAACUGGGCAGAAGAGAUAAACUACAAUCUCAGAAAAGGAGAUUAAGAUUCCUUCUAGUUCUGUGACCUUGAGAUAAAGAUUCAGUAGGGGAGCAACCUUGAGUACAAAUAAUAGGUGAGAGUUGAGAGGAAGUGGUGAAUAUGCACACCACUUUUUCCUCUUCUAGUCAUUUUCAGAGUUUGAUGCUGCCUAGCCCGAGAGGCUAAAAAGCUAAAUUCAAAAUUCUUCUAAAAGCAACAAGCAGUUCUUAUGGUACGUAGAUAGUAAGAAGAUAAGGACUUGCUAUCCUUUCAAAUGAAAGCCCUAGAGAGACUCACCUUAGAAUAGGGACAAACCAGGUGUAGUUAUAACAGAACUUUUCGAGUGUGGCUAGUCUGAAUUGAAUUGUGCAGGUGUAAAAUACUCAGCAGAUUUUAAGUUUAUAGAUAGUUUAGCUGAGUAUUUGGAGCUAGGUGCAACAUUCUAAUCUCACUGUCUGAUGAAUUUAUUUUCAGGCACAGCUAACCUUGAUUGUAUAAGGAGCUCAAGAUUUGAUGGUGGUCCUUUUUAGGUGUUCACAUUAGCUCCAGAAUACGUGUAGUAUAUUGUUGUGACUAAGAACUUGUGCUCUAACAUUGUGCUUGAUCAGAAGUAUUGGCCCUGAAAACUUGUGUGAUCAUAAUGUGUUAGCUAUUAAUUGUCCUUUGCACUCAGAACAUCUGUCUNUUUCCCUGGUCACCUGCUUAUUCACAGGUCUUCUUAACAUCCCUUUUGUUACUCUUUCACAUGUAAUCUUUUCCCCUUUCCAACUCUUCAUUCUGUUACCACACGUUAGACCUUUAAAACUGCUCAUUCCAGGACUGCCUAUUCCUGCUUAUUGGCCUCAACGAUCUGGAGGUUUUACAGGUGCAUCAGAUUUAGCUUGAUUGAAACACCAUUUAAAUGUUUCUCCAGUACUUCAUAUUUGCUCAAUUGUAUUUUAAUUCUUAACUUUUUCUUCAUCUUUAAAUUCUGACCAUGUGAUCUUCCCAGUAGGUCUUCUUUCUUCAGUGUACCACUGUUUUCUGAAGGUUGAUCUCUCUACAGUUAGAAAUUUCACCUGCCUUUCCUGUCUUCCCAGUGUCAGUUCCUUGCUACAGUAUUCUUCCUACCUUCUCAACCAAAAGCUCAGUUUACAGGUACAAACACAAAGUAGGAUUGAGAAUGAUAAACAAGUAAGUACAGGCUUCAUAGAUACGUAAAAAAUGUUGAAUUCAAGAAGGAAUGAAUAAGUAUCAUAUAGUCUUAAAGGAAGCUCAAAUGUUCAUCAGGAAAACCUUCUCUGACACCUGUACCAAAAACUAAGAUUAGCCAGGCAAGGUGCCACAGGGCUGUAGUCCCAGCUACUCUAGAGACUGAGGCAGGAGGGCACUUUGAGGCCAGCUGAGGCAACAUAGCAAGGAGUUCUUUUUUGUGUACCCUUAAUUCUUAUUAUAGUUUCUCUUAGGUUGUUGUAUAUAUUUUAAUCAUGGCACUUU